GUUAUUGUUAUUCCUCUCCCAGAACAUCUAGAGCUACAAAACUGAUGUUAUUAUUCUUACAUUUUUUAGACAACAAAGAUCUUUAGAACUACUGAAAACAUUGGAAAAAGAGAAAACGUCAAAGGAAAGUAGGAAAGAAAGAAAAAGAAAAGACAUAUCCCAAUGAGGAGGAUUGUUUCCUGAAUUCUGACAGCGAGAAUGUAAGAAUUCCAUUUAAAAAAUUAAGAAAACGAGUGUCAGAAAACAGCACAGCAGCUUGGAGAAGCAGUUAGAGCCUGAAGAAAAUCAAGUUCUUCAAGCGAAGAUCUUGAAGAAAGUGAUUGUAAAUUGGGUAUCAGUGUAGGAAAAGACCAGCUACAUAAUAAAGUUGUUCUUAAAUUUGAGAAUGCAAGUCUGAAGAAAGAAAAUAAUGAGCUUAAAAGAAAAGUGGAAAGCCUGACAAGCACAAUUGCUC